rnacentral:rRNA from 1 species
GACGAACGCUGGCGGCGUGCUUAACACAUGCAAGUCGAACGGAAAGGCCCUGCUUUUGUGGGGUGCUCGAAUGGCGAACGGGUGAGUAACACGCGAGUAACCUGCCCUUGACUUUGGGAUAACUUCAGGAAACUGGGGCUAAUACCGGAUAGGAGCUCCUGCUGCAUGGUGGGGGUUGGAAAGUUUCGGCGGUUGGGGAUGGACUCGCGGCUUAUCAGCUUGUUGGUGGGGUAGUGGCUUACCAAGGCUUUGACGGGUAGCCGGCCUGAGAGGGUGACCGGCCACAUUGGGACUGAGAUACGGCCCAGACUCCUACGGGAGGCAGCAGUGGGGAAUAUUGCACAAUGGGCGGAAGCCUGAUGCAGCAACGCCGCGUGCGGGAUGACGGCCUUCGGGUUGUAAACCGCUUUCGCCUGUGACGAAGCGUGAGUGACGGUAAUGGGUAAAGAAGCACCGGCUAACUACGUG